AUUGAACGCUGGCGGCAUGCCUUACACAUGCAAGUCGAACGGCAGCACGGGGCAACCUGGUGGCGAGUGGCGAACGGGUGAGUAAUGCAUCGGAACGUACCUUUCAGUGGGGGAUAACGUAGCGAAAGUUACGCUAAUACCGCAUAUUCUGUGAGCAGGAAAGCAGGGGAUCGCAAGACCUUGCGCUGAUUGAGCGGCCGAUGUCAGAUUAGCUAGUUGGUGAGGUAAAGGCUCACCAAGGCGACGAUCUGUAGGAGGUCUGAGAGGAUGAUCCGCCACACUGGAACUGAGACACGGUCCAGACUCCUACGGGAGGCAGCAGUGGGGAAUUUUGGAGAAUGGGGGCAACCCUGAUCCAGCCAUGCCGCGUGAGUGAAGAAGGCCUUCGGGUUGUAAAGCUCUUUCGGCCGGGAAGAAAUCGCACGGGCUAAUACCCUGUGUGGAUGACGGUACCGGAAGAAGAAGCACCGGCUAACUACGUGCCAGCCGCCGCGGUAAAAC
rnacentral:rRNA from 1 species